GAUGAACGCUGGCGGCGUGCCUAAUACAUGCAAGUCGAGCGAACAGAUGAGGAGCUUGCUCCUCUGACGUUAGCGGCGGACGGGUGAGUAACACGUGGAUAACCUACCUAUAAGACUGGGAUAACUUCGGGAAACCGGAGCUAAUACCGGAUAAUAUAUUGAACCGCAUGGUUCAAUAGUUAAAGACGGUUUUGCUGUCACUUAUAGAUGGAUCCGCGCCGCAUUAGCUAGUUGGUAAGGUAACGGCUUACCAAGGCAACGAUGCGUAGCCGACCUGAGAGGGUGAUCGGCCACACUGGAACUGAGACACGGUCCAGACUCCUACGGGAGGCAGCAGUAGGGAAUCUUCCGCAAUGGGCGAAAGCCUGACGGAGCAACGCCGCGUGAGUGAUGAAGGUCUUCGGAUCGUAAAACUCUGUUAUUAGGGAAGAACAAAUGUGUAAGUAACUAUGCACGUCUUGUCGGUACCUAAUCAGAAAGCCACGGCUAACUACGUG
rnacentral:rRNA from 1 species